rnacentral:rRNA from 1 species
GACGAACGCUGGCGGCGUGCCUAAUACAUGCAAGUAGAACGCCGAAGGAGGAGCUUGCUCUUCUGGAUGAGUUGCGAACGGGUGAGUAACGCGUAGGUAACCUGCCUGGUAGUGGGGGAUAACUAUUGGAAACGAUAGCUAAUACCGCAUAAUAACAGUUGUUGCAUGACAACUGUUUGAAAGGUGCAAUUGCAUCACUACCAGAUGGACCUGCGUUGUAUUAGCUAGUUGGUGGGGUAACGGCUCACCAAGGCGACGAUACAUAGCCGACCUGAGAGGGUGAUCGGCCACACUGGGACUGAGACGCGGCCCAGACUCCUACGGGAGGCAGCAGUAGGGAAUCUUCGGCAAUGGACGAAAGUCUGACCGAGCAACGCCGCGUGAGUGAAGAAGGUUUUCGGAUCGUAAAGCUCUGUUGUAAGAGAAGAACGAGUGUGAGAGUGGAAAGUUCACACUG